rnacentral:rRNA from 1 species
UACGUAGGGGGCAAGCGUUGUCCGGAUUUAUUGGGCGUAAAGAGCGUGUAGGCGGCCAGAUAGGUCUGCUGUGAAAACUCGAGGCUCAACCUCGAGCUGUCGGCGGAAACCAUUUGGCUAGAGUCCGGAAGAGGAAAGUGGAAUUCCUGGUGUAGCGGUGAAAUGCGCAGAUAUCAGGAAGAACACCCGUGGCGAAGGCGGCUUUCUGGGACGGUACUGACGCUGAGACGCGAAAGCGUGGGGGAGCGAACAGG